rnacentral:lncRNA from 1 species
CAGCUCGAUUUGUUCAACUGUCUAGGUUUGCCCCUUUAAUGGUCACCCCCGAAAGCCAAAAAGUUCGGAAGUUUUUUAAAGGCCUUUGUGCAGACAUUUAUGACCAGGUCGUGAUACUGAGACCCAACUCGUAUGCAGGGGUGUUUGAACAUGCCCAGUUGGUGAAAGAUCUUAUCUCAGCUAAGCACCAAUGCUUUGCCUGAGUUCGUGCCCAACAACAACCCCAACAGCUUACAAAAAGAUUAUCUGACCCAGUAAGUGACCCUCUAAAUAAAUGAACCAGAAUUUCCUUUCUUCCCACCUUGUCCCCACCUACAGCUCCACUUGUCUGAUCUAACUAACCUUGUCAACAUUGUGGUCGCUCGCAUGGUGACUUAUCUUGUCGGCGUAUCGAUAACACCUACUAUCAGUGCAGAAGCACCCAACAUCUUAUAAAAGACUACCCUCAGCAACCGAAGGAUGUAGCCCGAUCCAUAACACAGGGUCGAGUGUACCACUUAGAUGAAUCUGAUGUUCUUCCUACUCCUGUUCUCAUCUAAGGUAUGUUU